AUUGAACGCUGGCGGCAUGCCUUACACAUGCAAGUCGAACGGUAACGGGCCUUCGGUUGCCGACGAGUGUCGAACGGGUGAGUAAUACAUCCGAACGUGCCCGCUCGUUGGGGGUAACGAGGCGAAAGCUUUGCUAAUACCGCAUACGAUCUACGGUUGAAAACAGCGGACCGCAAGGCCUUGCGCGGGCGGAGCGGCCGAUGGCAGAUUAGGUAGUUGGUGGGAUAAAAGCUUACCAAGCCGACGAUCUGUAGCUGGUCUGAGAGGAUGAUCAGCCACACUGGGACUGAGACACGGCCCAGACUCCUACGGGAGGCAGCAGUGGGGAAUUUUGGACAAUGGGCGCAAGCCUGACCCAGCCAUGCCGCGUGCAGGAUGAAGGCCUUCGGGUUGUAAACUGCUUUUGUACGGAACGAAAAGCCUUCUUUUAAUACAGGAGGGUCAUGACGGUACCGGAAGAAUAAGCACCGGCUAACUACGUG
rnacentral:rRNA from 1 species